GAUCUUUUAGAAAAUUUUUCGUUUUGUUUUGAAAACAAAAAGAGGGAACCUAAAUAAUCCCAAAGAUCU
rnacentral:tRNA from 1 species